rnacentral:pre_miRNA from 1 species
CCGAGGUGCAUUGCUGUUGCAUUGCACGUGUGUGGCGGGUGCAGUGCCUCAGCAGUGCAGCCCGG